UGUUACCUGGAGGCUGACUUUGUCCUGGAGUGUCAAGGUGCCUUCACUGUACAUCUACCGACUGCUUCCAUUUAUGACAGCCUACCAAGACACUGCUGAUACAUGAAGACUCCUGUUUGCUGGCUUCAUCUCAAGAAUGUUGCUGCAAAAAUGGCUGCUAUCUACACAUAGAGUACUACAGAAAAAAUUUGAACCCCCCGUUUUUCUUCACGUUAGAUAUCAAUGACACAAGAAGAUGGAUUUAUAGUUGUGAUAACACACAUCUUUAGCUGAGAAAUAUGAAAAGGAAUCCCUAACACCGCCGAGAACGAGUGAAAAUAAUAAUGUAGUUGUACCUAAACUUCGUCAAGAGAUGACGCCACCUCCGAGAUAGAACGCGCCAACGAUGUGUCGACGUAUAAUCAUGGCGUCCGAGAUACAAAUUACCGAUCGAUUUAGAAUUUUUGGAGAAGAUUAGUGCCUGUUGGCUGCAUAAAUGCAUACCCCUGGUGAGGUUACAGUAGCUUCGCACAAGUUUAUCAGUCAUUUUACAUAGUGUUGUAAUAAAUAAGCUAACUACGUUGUUUUCGACUGCGGAGAGUAACCCUUACUACAAUAGAAUAAUAAUA